UGCGGGGUCGUCUAAUGGUAGGACGCCCGGCUCUGGACCGGGUAGUCUAGGUUCGAAUCCUAGCCCCGCAGCCU
rnacentral:tRNA from 1 species